AUACGUAGGGGGCGAGCGUUGUCCGGAAUGAUUGGGCGUAAAGGGCGCGUAGGCGGCCCGGUAAGUCUGGAGUGAAAGUCCUGUUUUUAAGAUGGGAAUUGCUUUGGAUACUGUCGGGCUUGAGUGCAGGAGAGGUAAGUGGAAUUCCCAGUGUAGCGGUGAAAUGCGUAGAGAUUGGGAGGAACACCAGUGGCGAAGGCGACUUACUGGACUGUAACUGACGCUGAGGCGCGAAAGUGUGGGGAGCAAACAGGAUUAGAUACCCUGGUAGUCCACACUGUAAACGAUGAAUGCUAGGUGUAGGGGGUAUCGACCCCUUCUGUGCCGCAGUCAACACAAUAAGCAUUCCGCCUGGGGAGUACGGCCGCAAGGUUGAAACUCAAAGGAAGUGACGGG
rnacentral:rRNA from 1 species